GGAGAGGUGUCCGAGUGGUUGAUGGAGCCGCUCUCGAAAAGCGGUGCCCCCCUGGUUGGGGCCGUGGGUUCGAAUCCCACCCUCUCCG
rnacentral:tRNA from 1 species